CCUACGGGGGGCAGCAGUGGGGAAUAUUGCGCAAUGGGCGAAAGCCUGACGCAGCGACGCCGCGUGAGGGAUGAAGGUCUUCGGAUCGUAAACCUCUGUCAGCAGGGAAGAACGGUCACUGUGCUAAUCAGCAGUGAAUUGACGGUACCUGCAAAGGAAGCACCGGCUAACUCCGUGCCAGCAGCCGCGGUAAUACGGAGGGUGCGCGCGUUAAUCGGAAUUACUGGGCGUAAAGCGCUCGUAGGCGGUAUGUCAAGUCAAGGGUGAAAUCCCCGCGCUCAACGUGGGAACUGCCUUUGAAACUGGCAAACUGGAGUGUGUGAGAGGAUAGUGGAAUUCCAGGUGUAGGAGUGAAAGCCGUAGAUAUCUGGAGGAACAUCAGUGGCGAAGGCGACUAUCUGGCACAUAACUGACGCUGAGGAGCGAAAGCGUGGGUAGCAAACAGGAUUAGAUACCCCAGUAGAC
rnacentral:rRNA from 1 species